rnacentral:miRNA from 1 species
UGUGGGACUGCAAAUGGGAG